ACCCUGANCAAAACAGACCGCGCACGCGUCAUCCAGCCCGCCGAGCGGUCCGCCGCUCGGCCAAGUCCUCGACAACCUCCUCUCUUCGGAGCGGGGGCUCGGGGUAAAAGAACCCACGGCGCCUUAGGCGUCAAGGAACACUGUGCCUAGCUCGGGAACGCGGCUUGCUUGCUUGCCGCGCCCCGUGCUGCAAUGCUAUUUAAUCCACACGACUCUCGGCAACGGAUAUCUCGGCUCUCGCAUCGAUGAAGAACGUAGCGAAAUGCGAUACCUGGUGUGAAUUGCAGAAUCCCGCGAACCAUCGAGUCUUUGAACGCAAGUUGCGCCCGAGGCCAUCCGGCCGAGGGCACGCCUGCCUGGGCGUCACGCUAAACACGCUCCCACCCCCCCUCAUCGGGGAGCGGGAUGCGGCAUGUGGCCUCCCGUCUCGCAAGGGGCGGUGGGCCGAAGAUAUGGCUGCCGGCGUAUCGUGCCGGACACAGCGCUAGGUGGGCGUUCUCGCUAAGCUUAUCGCAGUGCAUCCGACGCGUAGCCGACACGAUGGCCUUAAAGACCCUUUGAACGGUGCGCAUGACGCUCCGACC
rnacentral:rRNA from 1 species